GCCCCGAUAGUUCAACGGAUAGAACGUUCGCCUCCUAAGCGAGCGAUACAGGUUCGAUUCCUGUUCGGGGCACCA
rnacentral:tRNA from 1 species